rnacentral:misc_RNA from 1 species
AAUGCAGGUGCAGCUGGACUUUUUCUCUGAGCUAUAAGCAUAUCUAUUUAGUCUGCCUCAAAAAACAGAUUAUUACCUUUGCUGCAGCUAACAUAAAGGAGAUUAGUUCUUGUGCUGACUGAUGCAGGAUUCACAAAGACCGCUUCGGCUGUCUUUGUAAACUCGAUCUCAAAUCAAGUAAGACUACCCGCUGAACUUAA